rnacentral:rRNA from 1 species
AGGUCGAACGAGGUGCGAAAGCGAGGCGUUAGUGAUCCGGUGGUUCUGUAUGGAAGGCCAUCGCUUAUCGGAUAAAAGGUACUCUGGGGAUAACAGGCUGAUCGCGCCUGAGAGUUCACAUCGGCGGCGCGGUUUUGGCACCUCGAUGUCGGCCCAUCGCAUCCUGGGGCUGGAGCAGGUCCCAAGGGUUCGGCUGUUCGCCGAUUAAAGCGGUACGCGAGCUGGGUUUAAAACGUCGUGAGACAGUUUGGUCCCUAUCUGCCGUGGGCGUAGGAUACUUGAGAGGAGCUGCCCAUAGUACGAGAGGACCUGGGUGGACGUACCUCUGGUGCGCCGGUUGUCCUGCCAAGGGCAUAGCCGGGUAGCCAUGUACGGAACGGAUAACCGCUGAAAGCAUCUAAGCGGG